CACCUACUCCCUCCGUCCGAAAAUACUUGUCCGAAAGAUGAAUGUAUGUAGGCAUAUUUUAGUUCUACAUACAUCCAUUUAUAUUCAUUUCUGAGACAAGUAAUUCCAGACGGAAGGAGUAUAAA
rnacentral:pre_miRNA from 1 species